rnacentral:rRNA from 1 species
CCUACGGGCGGCAGCAGUGAGGAAUAUUGGUCAAUGGACGCAAGUCUGAACCAGCCAAGUAGCGUGCAGGAUGACGGCCCUCCGGGUUGUAAACUGCUUUUAGUUGGGAAUAAAAGGCGGCUCGUGAGCCCCGUCUAGUAUGUACCAUCAGAAACAGGACCGGCUAAUUCCGUGCCAGCCGCCGCGGUAAUACGGAAGGUCCGGGCGUUAUUCGGAUUUAUUGGGUUUAAAGGGAGCGUAGGCCGGCUUUUAAGUCAGCUGUGAAAGUCCGGGGCUCAACCGUGGAAUUGCAGUUGAAACUGGAGGUCUUGAGUGAACAAGGGGAUGGCGGAAUUCAUGGUGUAGCGGUGAAAUGCUUAGAUAUCAUGAAGAACUCCGAUCGCGAAGGCAAGUGUCCGGGGUGCAACUGACGCUGAGGCUCGAAAGUGCGGGUAUCAAACAGGAUUAGAUACCCUAGUAGUC